UACAGAGGGUGCGAGCGUUGUCCGGAAUCACUGGGCGUAAAGGGCGCGUAGGUGGUGGCUUAAGCGUGCGGUGAAAGCUCGGGGCUCAACCCCGAGUCGGCCGUGCGAACUGGGCUCACUGGAGCAUAGUAGAGGCAGGUGGAAUUCCCGGUGUAGCAGUGAAAUGCGUAGAGAUCGGGAGGAACAUCAGUUGCGAAGGCGGCUCUCUGGACCAGCACUGACACUGAGGCACGAAAGCGUGGGGAGCAAACAGG
rnacentral:rRNA from 1 species